UUUAAAAGACCUUGUUGUAGUGUACUUCUGUUCUGUGGUGUACUUGUACUUUGGUGUUUGGUGUACUUCACAGAAGGUAGAAGGUGUACUUGCUCCUUGCUCCGUGUCCGUGGUCCGUGCAGUGAGUGCUUUACCCGAGAUCAAACGCGUUAUGUUGAGUUAAUUCUUUUUUUUUGCAACAAAAUGGAUUCAGAUUCCUCAGUGUCCUCUGAUGAGAUUGACUGGCUAGGGGUAAAUUGUGGUGUUUUUGAAGAUGAUGUGGUCAAUGUCGUCAAUGACGGAAAUUCCCGAGAAUUUGACAACGGUGUUAACGAUGUUAAAAAAAUCAAGAACUUUUCCCUGGAAAAUACAGCGGCGGCUGCGUGUUCCAUUUUGCAAAAAAAUAAAAGAAAAAGAGAGACGUCUGGUAACAAAAA